UACGUAGGUGGCAAGCGUUGUCCGGAAUUAUUGGGCGUAAAGCGCGCGCAGGCGGUCCUUUAAGUCUGAUGUGAAAGCCCACGGCUCAACCGUGGAGGGUCAUUGGAAACUGGGGGACUUGAGUGCAGAAGAGGAAAGCGGAAUUCCACGUGUAGCGGUGAAAUGCGUAGAGAUGUGGAGGAACACCAGUGGCGAAGGCGGGUAGCUGGGCCAACACUGACGCUGAUGCGCGAAAGCUAGGGGAGCAAACGGG
rnacentral:rRNA from 1 species